rnacentral:sRNA from 2 species
UGCUUAAAACUCCAAUUAGCCUAGUUGCCUGGCUCAAGACGCCGAAAUGUGUCCGAUGGUUGAUGUCAGCAGCCGAAAGUCGUGAUGGUAAAGCCCAGCACAACCAAACUAAAAAGGUUCAAAUAGAGGGCGAUUCCCUGGUAGAUAUCAUCCCUUGAGAGGUUCCAAAUUUUGAAUAAGACGCCUGCAAAGUGAAGUUGAACAGGGAGAGAAUAUCACCUUGAUCGGUGUCAAUUGUUUCCGGGGGCUGUCGUCCUGGAUGUGCAGCAGAUAUCACCGAUCACAAUCGGGAUCGCCAAAAUACUGUUGAAUAAAUCGCCGAAUAAUGAGGGGCUAGAGGACGAGAAGUGCACAUGGAAAAUCUACGAAUUGAGCCAAAACAUGAGCGGCAAGAGUGGCCAAGCUAGCCAUCCAUGGAUAAGUUAGAAUAAAACACGAGUAUUCAGUAAGAUUUAAUAUUUUCCUCUCUGCUUUCAGGAAACACACCAAGACGAAAUAAAUAUAGCAAGCCAAUUCUGCGCCUGCGCUGUACCGGGUUUCGUACCUGUGAUACUUCAACAGAUAAAAUUUCCCCGAAUAGCGGAGUUCAGGCUUUGUUGAAAGCACGCGCUGCUCAAUGUUAUCUGCAAAGGAACAUAGCGCAGACCACUCUCCCUUAAGUGAGCGUGAGAGAGAUAGCGAUUCUCUCGUCUACUUCAGUGAAUAAAUAUGUCAAUACCUAUAAUUUGUUGAUUACAUUGCGGACAUUGUCCAUGAGCUUAUCGACGAAUAAUGGAGAGGGCCAGAGGGAAUGAAGCAGAGAACGUGAAGCGGCCGCCCAGAAGGUAAAUUGACAGAGAGAGAAAGCGCCGAUCU